GCAGGGCCUUCUCUAGGGUAUGGGAGACUCCAGACCAAGCCAGUGUAGGAUCUGCCCGGCCUCCGGGAGAGAAGAGCAGUUCGAUUCAAGGGGCAUUCACGUUAAUUUUCCGAGGAUUUCCCUGCAAGUGAAUUUUGUAUGAAAAUAAUUAUUGUUCUAUAUCGGAUGAUUUUCUCAUAUUUUAGUGAGAUCAAAGAAGACCCUUUUAGUUCUGUCCAAGCUAAUCUUGGGGAGGAAAAAAAAUCUAACUUCUGAGUACUCUGGAAAUGUUGGGAAUUCCACAUUAAAGAAGGUAUAUUUUUGAACUGAUAACUAAGUUGAUAUGUGAAAACCUAUACAAAUAUAAGUAUAGAAAUGACUAAUUCAGAAUUGGUGUCAGCAGUUUCCUCAGAUGGUGUGAUUGUUUUCAUAAGAAUGUGCCUCACACUGCUUAAGCCUAGUUACUGUGUAAAACAAAAAAUAACAAUCUACAUUUUCAUAGAUCUAAAAUUUUAAGUCUGUUGGGUUUCUUGUCAUUAAGUUGACUACUGUUUCAUUACCUAAAUGUUGACUGUAUUUAGGUACACUUUUCUCUAUAGACAUUCAGUUUCCUUCAAAUCCUAUUUUCUUCACAAGAAUUAUUUCACAGUCAGACACAAAAUUAAGUGGGUCCAAAUUGUGUAAUCACCUUUGUGUUAUUUGUGCAAAAUAGUUGGGUCUUCCCUUAAUUCACUUUGGUUUUAAUCCCAUCCUAUCCUGUAGGCUGAGGAAAUGAAAGCUUAUCCGGAUUACGUGUACAUUUAACAUCAACGUGGUUUGUAAGUAAUGGAAAGCCGCUCGCUCCCGUACCCGACCGACAGCCCCUGGACCCAAGUCCCUGCGGAACAGCCAGAGCUGUGUGCCAUGUGUCUGCACUGGCAGGUCAGAGACUGUGUGCGGAAUCGAGAGCUCCGUUGGAGCGAGGUCUCCCAGUCUUCCCCUCCUGGCGCACAAGGCUGCUCCUUCCGGCGAAGGAAACCGCGUAGGAGUUCAUCAGUGUACACUCCCGUCGAGUAGCAUUUGAGUGGCUCAGCCCACGCCGGGCCCCUGAACCACAUGCCCCACUCUAGCCAAUCACCCGUGGCCGGCGCGUGAGGCCAGAGCGUCGGCAGCGCGGAUGCAGAAUUUCUGGGAAGCGGGCGUGAGCACGGCGUGCCUUGACCCCUGUCUAUGACGUGUGGAGAGUGUUACAGCUCAGGUGCCCACCUGAGUGACCUUCAGCGACCGAGGAAGAAUCUGAGAUCACCGUAUAAUUAAGGUUAGUAACCUUACCGGUGAGCAUCCUCACCGAUAAAAAUGUUAGUGAGUUCACUGAAGACGAGCCAAGACAACUGCCGGUGGCACCGAUGCCACAGCGUGAGCCUCACACAAGGUUGCGCGCCUGAAGUCGUGUUCUCAGGGGUCGGGGUGGAAGAUCAAAAGAAGAAAAAUCGCAGGUGCCCAGAGCAAUUACCUGCCUGCGCAGGUGCGUUGCUGUUGAUCUGUUUAAAUAGCUGAGAAGAUACACACGUGGUAUUUUGAAAUUGCAGACCAGGGGCGUUGGGCCUCUGACUCUUGAUUUUGGCUCAGGUCAUGAUCUUGGGUCCUCAGAACAAGCCCUGGGUGGGGCUCUGUGCUCAGUGCAGAGUCCACUUGAGAUUCUCUCCCUCUCCCUCUGCCCCCG
rnacentral:lncRNA from 1 species